AUACGAAAGUAAAACCGUAGACAGCGGGUGCACAAGCUUAAUUUCCCGCCGAGGUACAAUAUAAAAUAUUGACCUUGCCUGUCUAUGCCGGCAAGGUUUUUUUAUG
rnacentral:sRNA from 1 species